rnacentral:rRNA from 2 species
AAAAUAAAAAAAUUCAAAAUGAAUAAAUAAAUCAAAUUUAAUAUUAAAUUUUAAAAACAAAAAAAUAAUAAUUUAAGUCCUCCUAUCAACCAAAUAAUACCAAUUAAUAAAUAAACAAUUUUUAUUUAAAUAUAGAUCUAUCAUAUAAAUCAAGUUAAUUAUAAAGAAUAUAAAUAUUUUAAAAAUCUAUUCAUGACAACAAUAAAUAAAAAUUAAUUAUUUAAACUUAAAAGUGCAAAUUCCUUUAAAUACAAAUUAAUCUAAUUUAAAUUUACCGCCAAAUUUAAUAAUUUUAAAUAAAUAUAAUCCUCGUUUAUAAACAAAAAUAUUUGGUUUAUAUAAAUAGGGUAUCUAAUCCUAAUCUAAACAUAACUAAAAUUAAUUAAACAAUAAAAAAAAUAUUUAAAUAAUUAUAUUUCACCAUUUAUAAAUAAAUAUAUAAAUUAAAAAAAAAUUUAUUAUUAAACAUAAACACAUUUUAAUUAAUUUUUGCUUAAUAUGU